GAGAAAUUUUCCUUUCAUUUUACACGUAUAAGGAUGCUAAUUGGUGACCAUUUCUUCAACGUUUCCUCCACCUCCUUGGAGGCUUUGUCGAUUGACCAUACCUUAUAAAUAAACUCUUCUCCCAUCCUUUCCUUGACAACUUCCAGCAAAGCAUUCUCUCCUCUUGGCCUUUCUCUCCUGAGCUGAAAGCAUUUCAUUUCCUUCUACUUGGAACAGAAUUAAGCCUUCUGUUUUCGUUUCUUGCAUUAGAUAUACUCAGCCAUGUCUCAAGAUCAAUCAGAUUGCUUCGCUAACAUGCAAGAAACAUCAUAUAACGAUCUAUCCUUUACAUUGAUUGACAUUUUAUUGUGUGGAGAGUCUUUCAAUUUGUUCAGUGAUUUGCAGAAAUCACUUUCAAGAUUUUGGUUCUCUAUCCGAUCCAAAAUUAGUUUCAAUAACUCAAAGGUAUGGGAGGAGAACAAGAACAAAGAUUCUGAGUCAUCCAACCAGCAGCGUUUCUUAAACAACAAGAGAGAUGAUUGGAACCUCUGCAGAGAAGAGGUGGAGAUGGUAAUGGGGCAAUUGGGACUUUUUUGCAGCUUAGAAAGUGAGGAGCUUAAGGAGUCAAUGGGUUCUGAUGACCUUUCGCAGCUGUUUGAUGAGAAGGAGCCAAGCUUAGAGGAAGUGAAGGAAGCUUUUGAUGUUUUUGAUGAGAACAGAGAUGGGUUUAUUGAUGCAGAAGAGUUGCAGAGAGUACUCCAAAAAUUGGGAUUAAAGGAAGGAUUUACGCUGGAUAACUGUAGAAAAAUGAUCAGUGCCUGUGAUGAAAACAGAGACGGAAGAAUAGACUUCACUGAAUUUGUGAAAUUCAUGGAGCACAUUUUUUCUUGAACAUACCUUCGGAUAACAUCAAAAGCACAACAAAUUUGAAAUUCGGCGUGUCUUUUCCUCUCUGUCUUCAAUCUCUCUCAUAAAGAUUUUU
rnacentral:misc_RNA from 1 species